CGAGUACGAGGCAUAAUUCUUCUUGCGCUGGCCGCGGCCGCGCUUGCCAACCGCUCCGGCGUCGCCCUCGGUCUUGGUCGACAGGGCGAUCUUCUUGGGACGCUUGGCUGCCUUCUUUUUGGUCUUUUUGGCGCCCGGCUCGGGCUUGGGCACUGCGGCGGUUCCGGCUUCGGUUCCGGUCUCGGUCGCGGCGGCCUCGCCAGCAGGGACCGCCUCGGCGGGAACUUGCGGCUCGGGCACGGUCUCGGUGUCCAUGGGCGACGGCGACGGGGCAGACAUGUUGUUGUCGGAUGCGAUGAG
rnacentral:lncRNA from 1 species